GGGAAGUUGGCUCAGUGGUAGAGUGCUUGCCUUGUAUGCAUGAGGCCCUGGGUUCAAUUCCUCAGUACCA
rnacentral:tRNA from 1 species